GACGAACGCUGGCGGCGUGCUUAACACAUGCAAGUCGAACGGUAAGGCCCUUCGGGGUACACGAGUGGCGAACGGGUGAGUAACACGUGGGUGAUCUGCCCUGCACUUCGGGAUAAGCCUGGGAAACUGGGUCUAAUACCGGAUAGGACCCUGGGAUGCAUGUCCUGGGGUGGAAAGCUUUUGCGGUGUGGGAUGGGCCCGCGGCCUAUCAGCUUGUUGGUGGGGUGAUGGCCUACCAAGGCGACGACGGGUAGCCGGCCUGAGAGGGUGACCGGCCACACUGGGACUGAGAUACGGCCGAGACGCCUACGGGAGGCAGCAGUGGGGAAUAUUGCACAAUGGGCGCAAGGCUGAUGCAGCGACGCCGCGUGAGGGAUGCCGGCCUUCGGGUUGUAAACCUCUUUCAGCACCGACGAAGCGCAAGUGACGGUAGGUGCAGAAGAAGGACCGGCCAACUACGUGCCAGCCGCCGCGGUAAUAC
rnacentral:rRNA from 1 species